AGGAUCAUUACCGAACUCGUGAUUACACGAACACACUGUGCACUUGGUCGCGCAGCAGCGCGCCCGCGUGUCUCUGCUCCUGUCGGGGUCGGUCUGUCCUUGUACAGUGCCGGUAAAUCGUCGCAACCUAUGGGCGACGAGCCCCGAGAGCAAGCAGUGCGCGCGAGUUCGCUGCCUGCGCGGUUGCCUUCACCGCACUCCCGUCAAACGGAGCGCAACGUUUUUAAACCACAAGCAAAUUUGCAGACUGAACUGUGUUGGUCAGCGAUUACAUGAAAGCUUGUCUUUGUGAAGUCGCUUGCCCAAUGGCAAUGCAAAUGUAACAAAUGACAACUUUCAACGGUGGAUCUCUUGGCUCGUGGAUCGAUGAAGAACGCAGCAAAACGCGAUAUGUAGUGUGAAUUGCAGAAUUCAGUGAAUCAUCGAAUUUUUGAACGCAAAUGGCGCUCCUGGGUAUUCCCAGGAGCAUGUCUGUCUCAGUGUCGUUUUCACCUCGAGCGCGCUUUGGCGCGGUGGUCAUGAGGCGUCUGAGCUGCACUCUUCGCGAGAGCGCCCAGUCCCUUGAAAUGCAGUGGCCGGACGCCGACUGCAAGGUUUCCCGGGCCAGGUUCGCCCCGGACCUGCUCGCACGGCUGAUUCUAGUUCGUGUCGCAGCAGCCGCGGUGCGCACCUGUGCCAGCACAGUGGGCCUUGCGUGUUCGCGCCAGUCCGAACAAAGCCAACUCUGGAAAACGCAUGAGCUGCUUGUCCUUUGCUGGUUGCGUGCGUGCGUGCGUGCGCGCGCAAUCUGCCAAAGGUGAGCUCUCCAUCUUCGACCUGAGAUCAGGCA
rnacentral:rRNA from 1 species